rnacentral:rRNA from 1 species
GUGCACCAGUCGCGAAUACUUUACAAUGUGCGAAAGCACGAUAAGGGAACUCUGAGUGCCUCCUAAGGAGGCUGUUCAGGUGUCUAAAAAGCACCUGGAGUAAGGGCUGGGUAAGACCGGUGCCAGCCGCCGCGGUAACACCGGCAGCCCAGGUGGUAGCCACUUUUAUUGGGUCUAAAGCGUCCGUAGCCGGUUGAGUAAGUUCCUUGGGAAAUUUGGCUGCUCAACAGUCAAGCUUCCAGGGAAUACUGCUCGACUUGGGACUGGGAGAGGUCAGAGGUACUCCAGGGGUAGGGGUGAAAUCCAUUAAUCCCUGGGGGACCACCGGUAGCGAAGGCGUCUGACCAGACCAGGUCCGACGGUGAGGGACGAAGGCUAGGGGCGCGAACCGGAUUAGAUACCCCGGUAGU